rnacentral:rRNA from 1 species
UACGUAGGGCGCAAGCGUUGUCCGGAAUUAUUGGGCGUAAAGAGCUCGUAGGCGGCCUGUUGCGUCCGCUGUGAAAUCCCGGGGCUUAACCCCGGGCUUGCAGUGGAUACGGGCAGACUGGAGGUAUGCAGGGGAGAACGGAAUUCCUGGUGUAGCGGUGAAAUGCGCAGAUAUCAGGAGGAACACCGGUGGCGAAGGCGGUUCUCUGGGCAUAUCCUGACGCUGAGGAGCGAAAGUGUGGGGAGCGAACAGG